rnacentral:rRNA from 1 species
GCCAGGAUCAACUCACUAUAUUCCCUGAUGUUAGCGGCGGACGGGUGAGUAACACGUGGGUAACCUGCCUGUAAGACUGGGAUAACUCCGGGAAACCGGGGCUAAUACCGGAUGCUUGUUUGAACCGCAUGGUUCAAACAUAAAAGGUGGCUUCGGCUACCACUUACAGAUGGACCCGCGGCGCAUUAGCUAGUUGGUGAGGUAAUGGCUCACCAAGGCAACGAUGCGUAGCCGACCUGAGAGGGUGAUCGGCCACACUGGGACUGAGACACGGCCCAGACUCCUACGGGAGGCAGCAGUAGGGAAUCUUCCGCAAUGGACGAAAGUCUGACGGAGCAACGCCGCGUGAGUGAUGAAGGUUUUCGGAUCGUAAAGCUCUGUUGUUAGGGAAGAACAAGUACCGUUCGAAUAGGGCGGUACCUUGACGGUACCUAACCAGAAAGCCACGGCUAACUACGUGCCAGCAGCCGCGGUAAUACGUAGGUGGCAAGCGUUGUCCGGAAUUAUUGGGCGUAAAGGGCUCGCAGGCGGUUUCUUAAGUCUGAUGUGAAAGCCCCCGGCUCAACCGGGGAGGGUCAUUGGAAACUGGGGAACUUGAGUGCAGAAGAGGAGAGUGGAAUUCCACGUGUAGCGGUGAAAUGCGUAGAGAUGUGGAGGAACACCAGUGGCGAAGGCGACUCUCUGGUCUGUAACUGACGCUGAGGAGCGAAAGCGUGGGGA